rnacentral:sRNA from 1 species
CCUCUGCCCUUCCUGGGCGUUUCCUCCCUAAUGACUUUUCAGCCCGGUCGCUUUGGCCGGGCUUUCUUUUUGGC